GCCCCCUUCGUCUAUCGGCUAGGACGAGAGAUUCUCAGUCUCUAAAGAGGGGUUCGAUUCCCCUAGGGGGUA
rnacentral:tRNA from 1 species